rnacentral:rRNA from 1 species
GAUGAACGCUGGCGGCGUGCUUAACACAUGCCAGUCGAACGGAAAGGCCAGUGCUUGCACUGGUACUCGAGUGGCGAACGGGUGAGUAACACGUGGGUGAUCUGCCCUGUACUUCGGGAUAAGCUUGGGAAACUGGGUCUAAUACCGGAUAGGACAACUUUUUGGAUAUUGUUGUGGAAAGCUUUUGCGGUAUGGGAUGAGCUCGCGGCCUAUCAGCUUGUUGGUGGGGUAAUGGCCUACCAAGGCGUCGACGGGUAGCCGGCCUGAGAGGGUGUACGGCCACAUUGGGACUGAGAUACGGCCCAGACUCCUACAGGAGGCAGCAGUGGGGAAUAUUGCACAAUGGGCGCAAGCCUGAUGCAGCGACGCCGCGUGGGGGAUGAAGGCCUUCGGGUUGUAAACUCCUUUCGCUAGGGACGAAGCGUAAGUGACGGUACCUGGAGAAGAAGCACCGGCUAACUACGUG